CCGCCAGAGAACUACAAGUGAAAAACUUGAAACUCAAAGGACUUGACGGUGUUCCAUAUCGACCUAGAGGAGCCUGUCCUAUAAUCGAUACUCCCCGCUCCACCCAACCCUAACUGGCAUCUCAUCAGCCUAUAUACCGCCGUCGAUCAGCCUACCCUAUGAAGGCUCAACAGUAGACACAAUAGUCUUAUCACUAAUACGUCAGGUCAAGGUGUAGCAAAUGUUAAGGAAGAGAUUGGCUACAUUUUUUAUUUUAAAAAUACGAAAAAUACUAUGAAACAAUAUAUGAAGGUGAAUUUAGUAGUAAAAU
rnacentral:rRNA from 1 species